rnacentral:snoRNA from 1 species
AAGACUAUACUUUCAGGGAUCAUUUCUAUAGGUCUUGACUUGAGAAAUGAGCUUCUAAAGUGUUUGGUCGCGCCAACCACGAUGAGGAGGCGAGUCCUUUCUUCUGAGCGGG